UUUAGAUAUUUGUUAUGUUUUAUCCACCAAUGCUUGUGUCAAAUUGCCUCUACGUCUUCUCAACAUACCCCAACGCUAUAUUAUCGUAUCACUAAUUCACCCCUCAUUUGGACAAUAUCCCCAUUUCUACCUUUCAUUUCCUUAUCUCUCUUUUUAGUAUUAAAAUAGAUUUACUUAAUAAAAUUAAAAAAUUUUUCCAGGAAGACUUAAUUUUCAUGUCUACCAUAAACAAUACAGAAAAUACAGGGUUAUGUACUUUCUAUGAAUACAAAUGCAAUGCAUAUACAAUAUGUAAUUAUACAUUGAGUUAAGCUAUGUCUUAAUUGAAGAUGAAUGUUUCCAGGAGCUAUGGAUACGUGAAUUAUUGAAUCUUGCACAUUAUAUUUGCCAACAUCAGCAGAAGGUAGCUGCUAAGCUUGUCUUAUUUAUGCAUCGAGGGAAGGAAAGUCAGGUGCUGGCAGAAGAACAGAGGACACCGGUGGUGGAAGUAGCUGGUGAGGACAUGCUGCUCGGGUAGUGUAGGCGUUGAUGUGGUUAUGAACCAGAAAAGAAAAAUGAAGAAUGUAUCUUGAUUCAUGUGUUAUCUAGUUUAGUUCUUUCAAAU